AAAGGUCCUGGUCUCAGGAAUUUCCCAGAAUAACCUCUUGAAAAGGGAUGUUGAUUGAAAUGUGCAAUUACCAAUAAUUGAGGUUUCAUCUGAGGGUGUUGAAAUGAAAUGGCUCCUUCUGGGCCAUCAUUGGCAUUUUGACCCUAUUUUUGACAAGUAAAGUGAAACUUUUAAAAAAGGUUGGCAAAGAUGAUAUUGUGUCAUUUGUGAAAUAUAAUAGAUGUUAAUUCAUGAUUGGUUUGUCCUGCCUGCUUUAAAUGAAAUGUAUUGUGUUUCUGGGUUUUCUUUUUAGCUGUAAAAGUACUUUGUUACUUAAAGCAUACGGUUUGAUCAGCAGUUGUGCUUCAAGUUCCUGCAAGUUAUAAAAGUUUCUCAUGCCUUGAGUGCUUUCCCCUUGCCUGG